rnacentral:rRNA from 1 species
AAACCGCAAAAGGCUCAGUAAACCAGUCAUGAUUCACUCGAGUAUACAUGACUGUCUUUGGAUAACUGUGGUAAUCCUAGAGCUAAUACAUGCAAUCAAGUCCCGACCAGUCUGACUGGGAAGGACGCUUUUAUUAGAUCAAGACCAAUCGCCCGGCUCGUUCGGGCGUUUCCUUGGUGACUCUAGGUAACACAUCAGAUCGCACGGUCCUCGCACCGGCGACUUAUCCUUCAAAUGCCUGACUUAUCAACUGUCGAUGGUAGACUCUAUGUCUACCAUGGUUGUAACGGGUAACGGGGAAUCAGGGUUCGAUUCCGGAGAGGGAGCCUGAGAAACGGCUACCACAUCCAAGGAAGGCAGCAGGCACGCAAAUUACCCACUCCCGGCACGGGGAGGUAGUGACAAAAAAUAACGAUACGGGACUCUUAUGAGGCCCCGUAAUCGGAAUGAGUACACUUUAAAUCCUUUAACAAGGAUCCAUUGAAGGGCAAGUCUGGUGCCAGCAGCCGCGGUAAUUCCAGCUUCAAUAGCGUAUAUUAAAGUUGUUGCGGUUAAAAAGCUCGUAGUUGGUUCUGCGUGCCACGCUGUCGGUUCGCCGCCUGCCGGUGUAACUGGCAUGCCGUGGCAUGUCCUGUCGGUGGCGUUCGGGAGCCUCGUUAGGUGCCGGCCCUUGCCCUAAAGCUUGGUGCUCGGAGGCCGGGGGUAUACCCGUUCGCCUAUCUAUCCUACCUAGGUGCUCUUCACCGAGUGUCGAGGUAGGCCGACACGUUUACUUUGAACAAAUUAGAGUGCUCAAAGCAGGCUGAAAUCUCUGCCUGAAUAGUGGUGCAUGGAAUAAUAAAACAGGACCUUGGUUCUAUUUUGUUGGUUCUUAGGAACACAAGGUAAUGAUCAAUACGGACAGGCGGGGGCAUUCGUAUUGCGACGUUAGAGGUGAAAUUCUUGGAUCGUCGCAAGACGCACAAGAGCGAAAGCAUAGCGAUCCGCCGAUGUUCCUCCGAUGACUCGGCGGGGAGCUUCUUCCCGGGAAACCAAAGCUUUUGGGUUCCGGGGGAAGUAUGGUUGCAAAGCUGAAACUUAAAGGAAUUGACGGAAGGGCACCACCAGGAGUGGAGCCUGCGGCUUAAUUUGACUCAACACGGGAAACCUCACCAGGCCAGGACAUUGGAAGGAUUGACAGAUUGAUAGCUCUUUCUUGAUUCAGUGGGUAGUGGUGCAUGGCCGUUCUUAGUUGGUGGAUCGAUUUGUCUGGUUAAUUCCGAUAACGAACGAGACUCUAGCCUAUUAACUAGGCGUUUUCCGGUGCCCCCGUCACCGGCGACAUUCAUUCUUCUUAAGGGGACAGGCGGCUUUUAGCCGCACGAGAUUGAGCAAUAACAGGUCUGUGAUGCCCUUAGAUGUCCUGGGCCGCACGCGCGCUACACUGAAGGAAUCAGCGUGUGCCUCCCUGGCCGAAAGGCCCGGGUAAUCCGCUGAACCUCCUGCGUGCUAGGAAUUGGGGCUUGCAAUUGUUCCCCAUGAACGAGGAAUUCCCAGUAAGCGCGAGUCAUAAGCUCGCGUUGAUUACGUCCCUGCCCUUUGUACACACCGCCCGUCGCUACUACCGAUUGAAUGAUUUAGUGAGGUCUUCGGACUGGCGGUAAUCCCUACUGACUUGUCAGUAUCGAUGAACGCUGGAAAGAUGACCAAACUUGAUCAUUUAGAGGAAGUAAAAGUCGUAACAAGGUUUCCGUA